GACGAACGCUGGCGGCGUGCUUAACACAUGCAAGUCGAACGGAAAGGCCCUGCUUUUGUGGGGUGCUCGAGUGGCGAACGGGUGAGCAACACGUGAGUAACCUGCCCUUGACUUUGGGAUAACUUCAGGAAACUGGGGCUAAUACCGGAUAGGAGCUCCUGCUGCAUGGUGGGGGUUGGAAAGUUUCGGCGGUUGGGGAUGGACUCGCGGCUUAUCAGCUUGUUGGUGGGGUAGUGGCUUACCAAGGCUUUGACGGGUAGCCGGCCUGAGAGGGUGACCGGCCACAUUGGGACUGAGAUACGGCCCAGACUCCUACGGGAGGCAGCAGUGGGGAAUAUUGCACAAUGGGCGGAAGCCUGAUGCAGCAACGCCGCGUGCGGGAUGACGGCCUUCGGGUUGUAAACCGCUUUCGCCUGUGACGAAGCGUGAGUGACGGUAAUGGGUAAAGAAGCACCGGCUAACUACGUGCCAGCAGCCGCGGUGAUACGUAGGGUGCGAGCGUUGUCCGGAUUUAUUGGGCGUAAAGGGCUCGUAGGUGGUUGAUCGCGUCGGAAGUGUAAUCUUGGGGCUUAACCCUGAGCGUGCUUUCGAUACGGGUUGACUUGAGGAAGGUAGGGGAGAAUGGAAUUCCUGGUGGAGCGGUGGAAUGCGCAGAUAUCAGGAGGAACACCAGUGGCGAAGGCGGUUCUCUGGGCCUUUCCUGACGCUGAGGAGCGAGAGCGUGGGGAGCGAACAGGCUUAGAUACCCUGGUAGUCCACGCUGUAAACGGUGGGUACUAGGUGUGGGGUCCAUUCCACGGGUUCCGUGCCGUAGCUAACGCUUAAGUACCCCGCCUGGGGAGUACGGCCGCAAGGCUAAAACUCAAAGGAAUUGACGGGGCCCCGCACAAGCGGCGGAGCAUGCGGAUUAAUUCGAUGCAACGCGUAGAACCUUACCUGGGUUUGACAUGGAUCGGGAGUGCUCAGAGAUGGGUGUGCCUCUUUUGGGGUCGGUUCACAGGUGGUGCAUGGCUGUCGUCAGCUCGUGUCGUGAGAUGUUGGGUUAAGUCCCGCAACGAGCGCAACCCUUGUUCACUGUUGCCAGCACGUUAUGGUGGGGACUCAGUGGAGACCGCCGGGGUCAACUCGGAGGAAGGUGGGGAUGACGUCAAGUCAUCAUGCCCCUUAUGUCCAGGGCUUCACGCAUGCUACAAUGGCUGGUACAGAGAGUGGCGAGCCUGUGAGGGUGAGCGAAUCUCGGAAAGCCGGUCUCAGUUCGGAUUGGGGUCUGCAACUCGACCUCAUGAAGUCGGAGUCGCUAGUAAUCGCAGAUCAGCAACGCUACGGUGAAUACGUUCCCGGG
rnacentral:rRNA from 1 species